CUCGAUGUUUAUGGGAGGUCUAGCCUGCCCACUGAAGGAGUUAAAGGGCCGCGGUAUUUUGACCGUGCAAAGGUAGCAUAAUCAUUAGUCUUCUAAUUAAAGGCUGGAAUGAAUGGCUGGACGAGGUAUUAGCUGUCUCUUUGGGAGAGGUUUGAAUUUAACUUUCUAGUGAAAAGGCUGGGAUAGUAUUGGAGGACGAGAAGACCCUAUAGAGCUUUACAUUUACUAUUACUUUAAUUGGUUUGGUUGGAGUUAGAUUUUGUGGCAGGAGUGUUUCGUUGGGGUGACGGGAAGAAAUAAGGAACUCUUCUUGGAAUGAACCACGAAUUAGUGAAUAAUUGAUCCAUUUGUAGUGAUUAGAAGACUAAGUUACCUUAGGGAUAACAGCGUAAUCUUUUUUGAGAGUUCUAAUCGACAAGAAGGGUUGCGACCUCGAUGUUGGACUAAGGAUGAUUCUUGGGUGCAGAAGUUCAAGGUUUAGGUCUGUUCGACCUUUGAAUCCUUA
rnacentral:rRNA from 1 species